rnacentral:rRNA from 1 species
UACGAAGGGGGCUAGCGUUGUUCGAAAUUACUGGGCGUAAAGCGCACGUAGGCGGAUCCUUAAGUCAGGGGUGAAAUCCCGAGGCUCAACCUCGGAACUGCCUUUGAUACUGGGGAUAUCGAGUCCGGGAGAGGUGAGUGGAACUGCGAGUGUAGAGGUGAAGUUCGUAGAUAUUCGCAAGAACACCAGUGGCGAAGGCGGCUCACUGGCCCGGUACUGACGCUGAGGUGCGAAAGCGUGGGGAGCAAACAGG